rnacentral:rRNA from 2 species
GUUCCCCUAGUAAUGGCGAAUGAACAGGGAAAAGCCCAAUUUUAAAAUCACCUAACCGUGAAUUGUAGUUUAUAAGAGUGUAGAACUGUGCUGCCUUGCCUUAAGUCUCUUGAAAAAGAGCUACAGAGAGGGUGAAAUUCCCGUUUUGGUGCAAGUAGUAGUAUGGAACUUAUCUCUAAAGAGUCAUGUUGCUUGAGAAUGCAGCAUAAAAUGGGUGGUAAAUUCCAUCUAAGGCUAAAUACUGGUAAGAGUCCGAUAGUAAACAAGUACCUUAAGGGAAAGAUGAAAGAGAACCUUGAAAAGGGUCUCAAAAGAAAGUGAAAUUGUUAUAAGGAAACCGCUUAAAACUUCUGGAAUCUGUGCACCAGUUAAUGGGGGAGCAAUCCCUUUGCUAUUGGUGUAUGGGUGGCUAUUGCUCGGGUUUGAGCUUAUGAGGAUUAGAAGGGAAGGUAAGUUGAAUUUCGGUUUAACUUCUUAAAGCCCUUUUAGUCUGAUAAAGUUUGGGCCAGUGUAGAAAGUCAUACGGUGGCUAGCUCUUGAAUUAAACACUAUAAUAGACUUGUGCUAGAGUGGUUUUUAAUUUAAGGCCUAGUACUGCCACAUGCUUUAAUAGUUAAGAAGACUUAAGCGACCCGUCUUGAAACACGGACCAAGGAGUCUAACAUAUAUGCAAGUAUUAUGGCUUAAAACCAGACUGCGCAAUGAAAGUAAUUUCAAGGUAGGAUCCCGCAAGGGUGCACUAUCGACCGAGCUAUAGGGAUUUUUUUCUAUGGUUUGAGUAAGAGCAUAUAUGUUGGUACCCGAAAGAUGGUGAACUAUGCCUGAAUAGGGUGAAGCCAGGGGAAACCCUGGUGGAAGCUCGUAGCGAUUCUGACGUGCAAAUCGAUCGUCAAAUUUGGGUAUAGGGGCGAAAGACUAAUCGAACCAUCUAGUAGCUGGUUCCUGCCGAAGUUUCCCUCAGGAUAGCAGAAGCUCGAAGUAAUAGUUUUAUGUGGUAAAGCGAAUGAUUAGAGGUCUUAGGUAUUCAAAAUAUUUAACCUAUUCUCAAACUUUGAAUGCGUAAGACAAUCUUAGUUUCUUAAUGAACUAGGAUAUUAGAAU